GUGACAGGUGGUGAGGGUGAGGUCUGCGUGCUGUCUGUCAACGUCCUACUCAACCUCUCCUGUCUAAUACCUCCUGUCAUCUACAAGUUAAUUAGUCUUCUGUCUCCUGUCAUCUAAAAGCUCCCGUCUUGUCUGUCUGUGUAAAAGUAGAUAAAGAAGAAGAAGGAAAGUAAAAGUAACAAGACUUUCACUAACAGGAAAAGUAAUAGUAACGAAGAAAUCAACUUUGUCUUUUGGUGUGUGAGCUGUACAGAUGUGGGGUCGAAGAGUGUUGCUACUGGGCCUAGUGUGGGUAUGGGUGACUGUAGAGGCUGGGGGGGAACCAAGUCACCUUCCCCUCACUACUAUAAUCCCAAGAGGCACCAGUAAUCCACUAUAUGAUCCACCGUGGCACAGAGAGAGAGCCAGUGAUCCGUCAGAGGAGGGUAGUGGGGUAGAUGAUCCACCAACGGGAAGGAAUAGUAAUCAGACAAGUCAUCAAAGAGAGAAAAGAAAUGCAGAAACAAAUAAUGGAAGUACUCUUGCCCCAUUGACAUUAAGUGGAAGUACCAAUGGUCCACCCAAACUAAGUGGAAGUACUCCUGAACCACCCAAACUAAGUGGAAGUACUCCUGAGUCACCAAAAGAAGGUAGAAGUGACACUGAUCCAUCUAAGAGACCUACAGGCAUCACUAACACAACGAAAGAUCAGGGGGACAGUGUGGGGGCAACGUCAUACCGAGCGAGCAUUGCUGAUUUACUGAAACGUGUAGCAAGUACCAUUGAUCCAGCCAGACGCAAAGGAAGUACCACUGCUCCUCCACCACGCAACAGAGGUACCACUGCUCCUCCACCACGCAACAGAGGUACCACUGCU